ensembl:snRNA U6 U6 spliceosomal RNA
AUGCUCGCUUUGGCAGCACAUAGACUAAAAUUGGAACAACACAGAGAAGAUUAGCAUGGCCCUGCGCAAGGAUGACACGCAAAUUCAUGAAGCGUAAAUUUAA